GCCUCAUGUGGAGCAGGAUCUGCUUACCCGUCCGGAGCACCUGAGAUCACCCCUAGUUUUUGGUGGGGUUCGUGUUGUUUAUUCUUUAGUUUUCUAUGUUGUGUCAUAUGUACUAUUGUUUGUCUGUUUGUCCUUUUCAUUUUUAGCCAUGGCGUUGUCAGUUUAUUUUCGAUUUAUGAGUUUGACUGUCCCUCUGGUAUCUUUCGU
rnacentral:lncRNA from 1 species